GAUUGAGAGGGCCAUCGCCUCACUACACACACACAACACAUUUUCUAGGGCACACAGAGAGGGUGAAAUGAAGGAGGCGAUUUGGAGACCCUCAACGGCGAAGACAUCUGACAAAGCUUGCCACAGUCGAUCGGUACCGAAGUACACAUCUGCGGCGUCGAAGAAGACUCACGAAGCUUGCCAAAAUCGAACGCUUGGGGCGUACAUCUGCGGCGUCGAACAACAACUCACCGUCUAAAACACCAUCGGUCUUCAGGGCUGUAUUGGAGGCAUAGACGGAACACGUGUAAGUGCAUGGGUUAUGGGGCCAGAUGCGUCAACAUAUUUAUAGGAAAUACUGUCACACGCAAAAUAUCAUGGCUGCGUGCGAUUUUGACAUGUGUUUCAUUUUCAUUUCGUGCGAAUGGGAAGGAAGUAUGCACGAUAGCCGCAUCUUCAACGAGACACUAACAAAUGAUAAUGUCCCAUUUCCACAUCCUAAAGAAGGUAACACAAUGCAUUGAAAAAUCGAUGGGGGUAUAAUAUUUCGCCAAACAUCGUUACUUGAAAAUAAAGCAUAAUGUCAAUUUCGUGUCAUAAAUUCUUAUACUGUCUACAGGCAAAUAUUAUCUUAUCGAUGCUGAUUAUCCAAACCAGGUAAGUUACCUAGCACCUUUCAAAGGCAGUCGUUACCACCAACAACAAUUCCGAAGUAGUGAACGGAACAGGACGACAAAAACCUCAAGGGAAUUAUUUAACAAAGUUCACUCAUCGUUGCACAGUGUGAUGGAACGCACUUUCAGUGCCUGAAAAAAUCGAUGGGGGUUUAUUAGAGACAUGCCUCGGUAUGACUUUGCAAAUGUGCAAGUUCAGUUAGUAAGUGCGUCAAUGGCAUUACAUAAUUAUAUACGGUGAAACACAGGUAAUCCAACAACUGUUCACCCAAUCUGCAACGAGGAAGAGGCUAUGACAAUAGUAAAUGCCAUACCAGAAGUUGAACAUAACGAGGAUGGUUUAAUGGUCGGAGAUGAGGACCCGUAUAUGGCAUUGGUGCGACUUCGCUUAUGCGACAAGUUAGUGUACUUGCGUAAUAACGGAACGUUAGGAAAUAUAUAAUAGUCCACCUAAUAUUCGUAGGCUUCUAACAUUGGUAACACACGUGGAACAAACUAUAUGUAAAUAUAUUAUCAUGUACAAUAUGUAUGUGUUUACACAGGAAUAUAAUCUCUUUCAAUUGGUGACGUGCCUAACUUUGAAAAAACAAAAACCACAGAAAAAAGCCUUUUCGAAAAAAAAAAACAAGUCAAACAAAUAAGAAAAAAAAAAAAAAAACAAAUUCAAAAAUUAUCAUGUGCCACGUCAAUUAAAAAUAUAAAAAGAUCAGUUUAAAACAACAAAAAGCCAAAAGAGGCAUAAAAAAAUUAUCAUGUGCCACGUCAAUACAUUAUGAUUUUUCACAUCAUUUUGAAUAAAUUACAUGAAAAAACCUUUUUCCAAAAAAAACAAACAAAGUAAAAAAAAAAUUUAAAAACA